rnacentral:misc_RNA from 1 species
GACACCACUCGCCCCCCCCUUCCCCCCUCUCUUGCAAAAGUCUGGGGGGUCUGUGUGGGCGGACUUUGAGUGUUCCGGAGCCUCACCGCUCUGAGUGCACCUAAUCUCGUGAACGAAGCCUCUCGCGCCCUGCCGCACAGAGUUGUUGACGGCGCUCGCUUCGGCGGCGACUCUCGACUCACCAAACGUGCGCAGGCCGCCUGCUUCUUCCGGCGCUCCUUCCCCUCAAAAGGAAGGAAACCGUACCACUUUCG